CCUACGGGAGGCAGCAGUGAGGAAUAUUGGUCAAUGGACGAGAGUCUGAACCAGCCAAGUAGCGUGAAGGAUGACUGCCCUAUGGGUUGUAAACUUCUUUUAUAAGGGAAUAAAAUGUUCCACGUGUGGGUUUUUGUAUGUACCAUAUGAAUAAGGAUCGGCUAACUCCGUGCCAGCAGCCGCGGUAAUACGGAGGAUCCGAGCGUUAUCCGGAUUUAUUGGGUUUAAAGGGAGCGUAGGUGGAUUGUUAAGUCAGUUGUGAAAGUUUGCGGCUCAACCGUAAAAUUGCAGUUGAAACUGGCAGUCUUGAGUACAGUAGAGGUGGGCGGAAUUCGUGGUGUAGCGGUGAAAUGCUUAGACAUCACGAAGAACUCCGAUUGCGAAGGCAGCUCACUGGACUGUAACUGACACUGAGGCUCGAAAGUGUGGGUAUCAAACAGGAUUAGAUACCCCUGUAGUC
rnacentral:rRNA from 1 species